UGUUCUCCAUAACCAAAUUGAUUUUUUUUUCUGCUUGGAAGGUUCACGAGAGACAACCAUACACUCGACAAAACCUGUUGCAGGCCUUAGACAUGGCUUUGAUAGCAUUACAGUUGGGUCUAGUCCAGACUGGAUCAGACAGACAAGAUCAUUCUUUCCUGCUGUGUGUCUUUGGUCAACAAUCACAGUGAUGUGGGUGCAGAGCUCUGGUCUGACCCACAGAGAAAACAUGGUGAAGUGCAAAAAAUGUGGAUUUACAACAAAAAAAGAAAAACCUGAAAACUAUUUUUCGCAAAGCUUGGGGGUGGGGGGGGGGGGUCAUUCCUUAUCAACCAUUUUAUGAACAGUGCCAACUGUUUGUUGUAUAGUGUGUUGUGAUUGCUGCAGGUUUGUUAGUUUUGACAACAGUCUUCAUUAUGACCUCAAACUGAACUUUUGACUCAAGUAUUUUAUUUAUUAAGCUUAUAUUUUGAAAACGGAGUUUGGUGUUUGGUUAAAUUGGUCUAAAGUUUCAGUAAAUGUGUUUUAGCAUUUGGGAUCAAGUGUAAUAUUUGGUACAGUAGUCUUUGUUUGUGAUUGCACAAACCAGGUUUGUACUGAUGAUCUCAUCAUUCUUCUUCCUCCAAACACAGCGAGUGGAAUUCAGAUCAAAAAGGUCUAUUUUGAUCUAAGCUGAUCACAUGACUUUCUCCCAUGAUCCUCUGGAUCAUCCAAGUGGUCAAACUUAAGACGGUCUGGACAUGUGCUGGUUUAAGUAGGAGAACCUUCAAACCAUGACGUCUUUGUGGAUCACCAACAGUAACCAUGGAAACGGUGGUCUCAGCUCUUCUCAGGUCAUUGACCAGCUCCCCCUGUGUAGUUCUGGACUGAUCCUCAUCUUUCUUGGGAACAUUGAAACUCCACCAGAACAUGUCUGCUCACCAGAGGGAACUCAUGAGAGACGCGUCCAUCAGGUGGAAGCUUGGCCCCAAAGCCCAGUGCAGGGAACAUCUUGUCACUGUCAUAGUCCUGGAUGAUCUCCCCGACCGCCCGCAGCGCCAUGGCGUAGUCAUUCAGCUGGUACGGGCUCAUGUAAUGGAGGGAAGUGGGUUGCGACGGGUUGCCUGAGUCCCAAAUGAUUCAACAGGAAAAAGCACACACAUCAAGGUCAGGAAAAUCUGAUCUGUUCCUGCAGAUUUGAUUCAUCUUUAAAUGGAUGGACACUGAAAAAACACACAACAGACAUUAACUCAUGAAGGUUUCUCUGCUAAUGACGAGUUCUAAUGAGUGGUAAAGUAGUAAUUACAAAAGUCUUACUGAGUACUCAAGCUUACUAUUUCACUUUAAACUUUAAAAAUGCGGCUAACUCCCCAUGUCCUCUUCAAUGAGUGGAGAAUAAAAAUGUCCUUUUUCAAACUGUUUUGCGAAUAAGGCUUAAUCUUUUUAACUUAUUUAUUUAUUUUUUUUAUUAAAACAGGUUUGCUGUUUACAAAAGAAUCCUGAAAGGAAAAAUGGAAAACAAGUUUUUUCCUUUUACGCUUUUGCAAUCUCAAAAAUGUUUCCUUUCUUUGCAAAUGUUCUGGUUCUUAAUACAGCAUGUGUUGUGUUUGCCUUUACCGUUUCCCGUGAAUGUAAUCUAAUACUGAUCACCUCUAUGGGCUCAAAUCAGCUUAAAGUGAAUGAGAAACAAGUAGAUUGUAAAUAAAUAAAAAAGUAAAUUUGAAACGUGAAUAAAAA